UAUUAGGUUUGAUGCUUGUAGGAGGAGGUCGUUCUAAGAUUUUUCAUCGUCUUUGAGUCGUUGUUCGAGAGUUCGUUGAAGAUAAUCUUAGGGAAGCAACUCCAUUAUGGUAAGCUCAAGCAUAAACCAUUUCUACUACAUCUCUGUCUAACCUUAAUUCUCUAUGCAGCAUCCUCUCGUUGACGAGCUAAUGAGAUGAUGCAUACCCCAAGUUUAUUCCUAGAGGAUCAUCAAAUGAGCUUCAUCCGAGAGUUUGAGUGAUCUAUGGUUAGCCUUCUUGCUUCCGGAUGAUUUCAUUUAAUUUUCAGUUUAGUCAUGAUGUCGUGGAUCUUGUCCCAACUUCCAUCUGUAUCAGUUAGAGGUUUCAUAGAUAGUAUGUAUAGUUGAGAAGUCUAUAUUAUUCAUUUAUUUUAUUGAAUGUUUUAAAGAUAUAUGUUUCCUUUUUUAUAGCGAGUUGAAUAUAUUAUUUUUAUUCAAAGUU